UACUGUGCCGCAGUACUCUGGACUGUGUCACGGCGCAGAACUCCAUGCACGCUAGAUCUCAGACGUGAUGACCCUAGUAAAUUUAUAAAGGCUGUAAUAUUAAUACUACUAUUUUGUUGGGGCAACAGAAUAACAGUUAAACUUAUUUUAAAACAUUAAGAAUUUUAUAUAAUGAAAAACAAUAUUACUCUAGGGAUAACAGCAUAAUUAUUUAAUAGUUUGUGACCUCGAUGUUGGACUAAGGAAGGUUAUAUUCAGAAGAUAAAGCUGUGUGUUCUGUACGAACAAUUAAUGCUUACAUGAUCUGAGUUCG
rnacentral:rRNA from 1 species